GACGAACGCUGGCGGCGGGCUUAACACAUGCAAGUCGAACGAACGCCUUCGGGCGUUAGUGGCGCACGGGUGAGUAACACGUAGGCAAUCUACCCUCGGCUGGGGAAUAACCAGGGGAAACCCUGGCUAAUACCGCAUAACAUCUGGACGUCGCCUGGCGACCAGAUCAAAGCUUUAUGUGGCCGAGGAUGAGCCUGCGUCGGAUUAGCUAGUUGGUGGGGUAACGGCCUACCAAGGCGACGAUCCGUAGCGGGUCUGAGAGGAUGAUCCGCCACACUGGCACUGAGACACGGGCCAGACUCCUACGGGAGGCAGCAGUGAGGAAUAUUGCGCAAUGGACGAAAGUCUGACGCAGCCACGCCGCGUGCAGGAAGACACCCCU
rnacentral:rRNA from 1 species